AAAAAAAAAAUGGAUGGAUAUGAAGGUGGAGGCAGAGUUGGGUUAAGGAAUCAUUACACAUGAAGUAUCCUAGUUACCAGAAAAAGGUCACUGGACUGAAGCAGGAAACUUCUUGUUUUGGUUCUUUAAGGUAUUCUACUCAGCAUAACAGCUCAUUCUAAUACUCUGUAUUAGUUUGCUAAGGGUGUCAUAACAACAUUCCACAAACCUAGUGGCUUAAACAACAGAAAUGUAUUGUCUUGUAGUUCUGGAGGCCAGAAGUCACGAUGUCGCUGGUGUUGGCUCCUCCUGAGGGCUGUGAGGGAAGGGUCUAUUCCUGAUCUUUCUUUCUGGUUUGUGGAUGCCCUUUUUCCUGUGUCUCCUCACACCAUCUUCCCUCUGUACAUGUCUUAUCCAAAUUUCCCCUUUGUAUAAGAACACUAAUCAUGUUGGAUUAAGGUCCACCCUAAUAAUUUCAUUUUAACUUGACUACCACUGUACAGACUCUAUCUCCAAAUACGGUCACACUCUGGGGCAGUGAAGGUUAGGACUACAACGUAUUUGUUUUGGGUGACACAAUUCAACCGGUAACAUAUCCUGAUCCUUGGCUCCCUCAUCUGCAAAACAAGUAUAUUUACCUUACACUGUUAUUUAAAAAUUGAAAAGCAGCCAAUGUAUUUAGAAGAACUUAGUAAACUGAAGAUUCUACAUAAGAACAAGGCAGUAAAAACAGUGAGCGAUAACAGCAUAGAUAUACAUAAUAAUAAGAGCUCUCUCUUACUGAGAACAGCCAUGUGCCUGGCAGUUCUAAAUGUAUUCACUUAUGAAUCUAUGAGAUCUCCUAUGAAGAUUGAUGGUAGCAUUAUCUCUACUUUCCAGAUGAGGAAACUGAAGGACAGCAAGUUUGGGCAAUUUGCUAACGACACAGCUUGUAAGUGGUAUGGCCACUUGUAAGCCACUCCAUUAGAAGCCAGAGCCUGUAAGCUUAAUCACGUCCCCUCCCCACAUACAGAUACUAGUGAGAGAACCAACUUUAAAUUUCCAGAAUAAAGAUUGUUUCAAAAAUAGAAAUAGAUAUUAAGAAAUAAAAAUAGAAAUUAUUUCUAUAGACAGCUAGGUAAAUGGAAAAGCAAUAGUUAAAAUGUGAACAUAUUUUAAGUAUGAUAUACUGUAGCUAAAGAUAACAUGCAGUACUUUUAAGUAAUACUGUAUAUAGAGAAGUAGAUCGAAAUAGGUAAACUAUUAACAUAAAUUUUCCUGUAGUGGAAUCCCAAUUAAAGCAAUAAUGUAGAGCAAUAAGAAGCAAAAUCUGCUUGGAUCCAAAUCAUUUCUGAACUUUGUAACUUUGGUCGUGUUGCUUUCUGUGAAUCAGUUUCUUCAUUUAAAAAAGUUGUUAUGAGGAUAGAACAUGCUAGUAUUUAUAAAAUGCUCAUAAAUUCUUGGCACAAAGUAAGCUAUAGACUCAAAAAUGGUGAUUCCAGACCUCAAGAAAUAAGAACUUGAAUUUCAGAGAAAUCUUCCCUUAUUAUCCCUGAGGUCCACUCCAUAGCUUGAUCAAAGAAGUGGGAUACUAUGUAGUAGACUAGUGUGGCAGCACCUUAAACCCACAAAUAAGUUUGGCUGUUGUAAAGAGAAGGGAAACCAAAAUUAUUUCAGGACCUACUAUGUGCAGAGUUUUUAUCUGCUAUAUACAUAGGCAUAUGCUAUUCCAUCAGUGGUUCAGAGGGCAUAAACAGUUAAUAAAGCUAUCUCAGGGAUGAUUAAAUUGAGAGUUGCUCAGGGUCAUACAAUUUUUGAGUCAGGAAUUAAACCCAGGGCUAUUUCAUUCCAAGGCCCAUGUUACUUUCUGGUAAAACAAAUAACCAUGAAAUAUAAUAUAUUUUCUUUGAAUCCCUAAUAGUGGGUGCUAUUAUACCCCCAAUUACUUAAAUUGAUCCUGUACAUUGCCAAGAGAUUAAAUUAUAAAUUAUUGAGUUCAAAAAGUUAAUUUCUUCCUCCAAAGAGAUGGCAUCUUACAGUUUAAUUACUCUGACAGCUUUUUUUUUUUAUUUUUUCUCCUAGUGAAUUAUCAACAGAAACUACCUAGAGAAACCUGUAACUUCAGAUCUUCUGAUUAAUUGAUUUUCUUUGGGUGCUGCUUGACAGUAACAGAAUGGUCCAUGGGGACAGUUUUUCAGUGAAUGUUUUCAACAAUGAUAGGAACACAGAGCUAAGCAGAGUGUCAAGAGACAUUUAGUGCAGUAGAGACAUCUCAUCUGUUUUUCUGCAGAACUUGCAUAAAAUUAGCAUCUGAUUAUUAUCACCUCAGAAUGAACCGGAACCCGUAAAGAUGUCUUUGAUCGUAAAAGUGGGGAGGAGACCCUGAUGGAAGAAGAGAAGACUUCAGCCUCACAAUAGAAAAGACUGUGUUUAUGCACCUAAAUCUAACUUAGACACCAUCUAAUUCAAGAAACAGGCACAUUUAGGGAAAUAAAGAAAAGAGGCAGAAAGAGAUGAAGCACCUUGGCUGAAUCAGAGAAAUUAGGGGUUAAUGUUCCAGACUGAUGACUUGAAGGAGGGUGUGCAUUUUCAUGCAAGGGACCAUUCUGUAGAAGAAGCAGCACAUUCACCCUUAAAUGAGCAAAGAGAAUCCCAAUCACUCUCCCUCUCACCCUCCCCUUUUCCUUCAUUUCUCUAGCUCUUUAUUUCCAAGAAGGCCAGCCCUUCUCUUCAGCCACAUGGUAUUUGGACAGCCUAGGCUCAAUCCCUGCAGGGAAAGCUCAAUCAGCCAGCUGAGCCAGUCACUGAACAACCAAGUCUGGUAAGAACAGGGGUGAAGUAUUUAAGAAGCCUAUCGUGGCUGGAGGGCUAAAGCCUUGUUCUCAAAUCAGCUUUAUAGGUAAUAAAACUGACAUUAAAGCAAAAACAAAUAAGAGUAAUAAGGCUUCUUCUGUGUGUUUCUUGGGUUUUGUUUCUCAUUUGAUUCCAAAUGGGGAGACAAGGGUAUAUUUAUCCUACCCUU
rnacentral:lncRNA from 1 species